rnacentral:lncRNA from 1 species
GAAUGAGAAAAGUCCGCUUGCACAUGAAAAAGAGAAUCAAUCUUAUGAACGGAAAUGACGAUUAGAUCCCUACUAUUCCCAAUUUUACUGAGGUGCAAAUUUCCUCUUUCAUUUGCUCCCGGUUAUGUCAGUGACGUGGCGUACUGGUGUUGUAAUUUAAUGUUUAAAUUUUAUGGUAAAAAGCGAUAAAUGUAACUUUUUAUCAUACUAAAAGCUUUACCCAGCA